rnacentral:rRNA from 1 species
CAAGUGUUCUUCGGAAUGACUGGGCGUAAAGGGCACGUAGGCGGUGAAUCGGGUUGAAAGUGAAAGUCGCCAAAAACUGGCGGAAUGCUCUCGAAACCAAUUCACUUGGGUGAGACAGAGGAGAGUGGAAUUUCGUGUGGUAGGGGUGAAAUCCGCAAAUCUACGAAGGAAGGCCAAAAGCGAAGGCAGCUCUCUGGGUCCCUACCGAGGCUGGGGUGCGAAAGCAUGGGGAGCGAACAGG